GCCGUGGUGUAGAGGUAAAGCGCUUAACUCCCACACAAGAAGUCUAGGGUUCGAUUCCCGGCCCCGGCA
rnacentral:tRNA from 1 species